rnacentral:rRNA from 1 species
GAUGAACGCUGGCGGCGUGCUUAACACAUGCAAGUCGAACGGAAAGGCUCCUGCUUGCAGGGGUACUCGAGUGGCGAACGGGUGAGCAACACGUGGGUGAUCUGCCCUGCACUUCGGGAUAAGCCUGGGAAACUGGGUCUAAUACCGGAUAGGACGAUGGUUUGGAUGCCAUUGUGGAAAGUUUUUCGGUGUGGGUUGAGCUCGCGGCCUAUCAGCUUGUUGGUGGGGUAAUGGCCUACCAAGGCGUCGACGGGUAGCCGGCCUGAGAGGGUGUACGGCCACAUUGGGACUGAGAUACGGCCCAGACUCCUACGGGAGGCAGCAAUGGGGAAUAUUGCACAAUGGGCGCAAGCCUGAUGCAGCGACGCCGCGUGGGGGAUGACGGCCUUCGGGUUGUAAACUCCUUUCGCUAGGGACGAAGCGCAAGUGACGGUACCUGGAGAAGAAGCACCGGCUAACUACGUG